rnacentral:misc_RNA from 1 species
AAAUAUUUCCCAGAUGAAAAAUUUAUUCACAAGAAUUACGGCUACAGAAUAACUACAACAUAUGAUAUAAACAAGCAAUUACUCAGUUGUAUUCUGUCUUUACACAGCAAUAUUUGGGAUCUUUCCUCUGCUUUUACCACACAAGGCAAUGGAAGAAUGUAAACAAAACUAAAACAAAAUACAAUUACUAUUGUCAAUCCGAGAUGACAAGAAGCGAGUUGUGGAGAAAGUAGUUAAAAGAUAAGGAGGAAAGAAUUCUAGAUGGACUUGAAUCAAAUUUGACUUUGCAUUUAUGAAUCAUUUCAAACGUUGCAGGAAAAAAGAAAAUUAGAGAAACGAACAUGUGCCCUUUCCCGAGAGCAACCCCACUAGAUUGUAGGGAGAAAGAUCAGAAUCAGAUAAAUUCAUAAAGAAGGAAAAAAAAGAGAGAGAGAGAGAG